AAACAAAUAAUGUGGUAUAGUUUUCAACAUGACUGGAGCAUUUUAAAAUUUUGACCCCUGCAGCUCAUUAGAGGUCAGCUCCAGGAUAGUUCCAUAUCUGAAAAUAAACAUUAGUUAAUUUAGAAUAUGUGUGCGAAAUUUGGUGCUUUCAUCACAAAAUUAACAAUUGUUACAGAAAAUGUAGUUAAGCUGCUCCACUAUGUGACACGUGUGCAU